rnacentral:rRNA from 1 species
CCUACGGGGGGCUGCAGUGGGGAAUAUUGGGCAAUGGGCGCAAGCCUGACCCAGCAACGCCGCGUGAAGGAAGAAGGCUUUCGGGUUGUAAACUUCUUUUAUCAGGGACGAAGCAAGUGACGGUACCUGAGGAAUAAGCCACGGCUAACUACGUGCCAGCAGCCGCGGUAAUACGUAGGUGGCAAGCGUUAUCCGGAUUUACUGGGUGUAAAGGGCGUGUAGGGGGGGAAGCAAGUCAGAUGUGAGAGACACGGGCUCAACCUGCGGCCUGCAUUUGAAACUGUGUGUCUUGAGUACUGGAGAGGCAGACGGAAUUCCUAGUGUAGCGGUGAAAUGCGUAGAUAUUAGGAGGAACACCAGUGGCGAAGGCGGUCUGCUGGACAGCAACUGACGCUGAGGCGCGAAAGCGUGGGGAGCAAACAGGAUUAGAUACCCGUGUAGUC